rnacentral:misc_RNA from 1 species
AAGUCGUAACAAGGUUUCCGUAGGUGAACCUGCGGAAGGAUCAUUAUUUGAUUCGAAAUUUGGGGUAUUAUAUGCCUCUUAUUUUCACCGUGAACUGUCUUGUUGUACUAUUGUUGUAUUUUUAUAAAGCAUUCUUCGGAAUUUGCAUCAAUUAAAGACAACUUUCAGCAAUGGAUCUCUUGGCUCUC